rnacentral:lncRNA from 10 species
ACUUAAUCACAUCAUUGCUUUUGUUACCCAAAAUGGCGGCAUACAGAAGUGGUUUUCACCUGCACUUGUAACUGGCGUUUGAGUAUUGUUGGCACACUCACCGGAAGAAUGUUCCCCUCCCCUGCCCCAAACCUCACAUCUUCAUCCUGAUUAGAUUGAGUUUCAGUUCUGCCAAGGACCACCCUGAAUUUAUUUUUUCUUGAAAGAUGAACGAAAGUGGUCAAGGCUGGUCUACUUCUGAGGCUUUUGAAGGGAACCCGCUCUUCAUUUCUUCCUGGGCAGCUCUUGAGAGCAUCCUUCUAUCACUGCGUUCCAUGGUAGCUCAUCCAUUCUGGUUGUGUUGCUCCGUGUACCCUUCUGCAUGAAAAGUCAUCCUUCUUCAGCUUGUAACAGUGCAGCUUUUAUUUGAAAUAAAAGUUUAUCCUCCGUG